rnacentral:piRNA from 1 species
UGUGGCCGGAGAACAGCAGCUGGAUGU